UAUUUUUGGUUGUUGACUUCUCAAAUAAUCCCUCAAUUGGAACACAUUCCACUUACUACUGAUGACAUUGCAACGCGAUUGACUUGUUUUCCAUAUUAAAGUUCUUCAAAUAACUUAAUACCUCAAUUAUUCAACAUUUGUUCCGUGUAAGCUACUACUAUAGAAUAGAAACAGAAUAGAAGAAUGUAUUUUGUAUUUAGACUUUCUAACUUGUGAAAUACAUUGAGGAAUCUUGAAUUUAUAGAACAAUGAUUAAGUAACAAACUAACAGCUCAUAAACUAACUCAUAAAACUGACUAACUAGGCUUAGCUAAGGUAUACUUGUAGUCUUAACAUUC
rnacentral:lncRNA from 1 species